rnacentral:rRNA from 1 species
UACAGAGGUCUCAAGCGUUGUUCGGAUUCAUUGGGCGUAAAGAGCUCGUAGGCGGUUCGGCAAGUCGGGUGUGACAACUCCAGGCUCAACCUGGGAAUUGCGAUGGAGACUGCAAGGCUUGAAUCUGGCAGAGGGGGGUAGAAUUCCACGUGUAGCAGUGAAAUGCGUAGAUAUCUGGAGGAACACCGGUGGCGAAGGCGGCAUCCUGGACCGGUAUUGACGCUGAGGCGCGAAAGCCAGGGGAGCAAACGGG